AAAUUGAAGAGUUUGAUCAUGGCUCAGAUUGAACGCUGGCGGCAGGCCUAACACAUGCAAGUCGAACGGUAGCACAGAGAGCUUGCUCUCGGGUGACGAGUGGCGGACGGGUGAGUAAUGUCUGGGAAACUGCCUGAUGGAGGGGGAUAACUACUGGAAACGGUGGCUAAUACCGCAUAACGUCGCAAGACCAAAGAGGGGGACCUUCGGGCCUCUUGCCAUCAGAUGUGCCCAGAUGGGAUUAGCUUGUUGGUGAGGUAACGGCUCACCAAGGCGACGAUCCCUAGCUGGUCUGAGAGGAUGACCAGCCACACUGGAACUGAGACACGGUCCAGACUCCUACGGGAGGCAGCAGUGGGGAAUAUUGCACAAUGGGCGCAAGCCUGAUGCAGCCAUGCCGCGUGUAUGAAGAAGGCCUUCGGGUUGUAAAGUACUUUCAGCGGGGAGGAAGGUGUUGUGGUUAAUAACCACAGCAAUUGACGUUACCCGCAGAAGAAGCACCGGCUAACUCCGUGCCAGCAGCCGCGGUAAUACGGAGGGUGCAAGCGUUAAUCGGAAUUACUGGGCGUAAAGCGCACGCAGGCGGUCUGUCAAGUCGGAUGUGAAAUCCCCGGGCUCAACCUGGGAACUGCAUUCGAAACUGGCAGGCUUGAGUCUUGUAGAGGGGGGUAGAAUUCCAGGUGUAGCGGUGAAAUGCGUAGAGAUCUGGAGGAAUACCGGUGGCGAAGGCGGCCCCCUGGACAAAGACUGACGCUCAGGUGCGAAAGCGUGGGGAGCAAACAGGAUUAGAUACCCUGGUAGUCCACGCCGUAAACGAUGUCUACUUGGAGGUUGUGCCCUUGAGGCGUGGCUUCCGGAGCUAACGCGUUAAGUAGACCGCCUGGGGAGUACGGCCGCAAGGUUAAAACUCAAAUGAAUUGACGGGGGCCCGCACAAGCGGUGGAGCAUGUGGUUUAAUUCGAUGCAACGCGAAGAACCUUACCUGGUCUUGACAUCCACGGAAGUUUUCAGAGAUGAGAAUGUGCCUUCGGGAACCGUGAGACAGGUGCUGCAUGGCUGUCGUCAGCUCGUGUUGUGAAAUGUUGGGUUAAGUCCCGCAACGAGCGCAACCCUUAUCCUUUGUUGCCAGCGGUUAGGCCGGGAACUCAAAGGAGACUGCCAGUGAUAAACUGGAGGAAGGUGGGGAUGACGUCAAGUCAUCAUGGCCCUUACGACCAGGGCUACACACGUGCUACAAUGGCGCAUACAAAGAGAAGCGACCUCGCGAGAGCAAGCGGACCUCAUAAAGUGCGUCGUAGUCCGGAUUGGAGUCUGCAACUCGACUCCAUGAAGUCGGAAUCGCUAGUAAUCGUGGAUCAGAAUGCCACGGUGAAUACGUUCCCGGGCCUUGUACACACCGCCCGUCACACCAUGGGAGUGGGUUGCAAAAGAAGUAGGUAGCUUAACCUUCGGGAGGGCGCUUACCACUUUGUGAUUCAUGACUGGGGUGAAGUCGUAACAAGGUAACCGUAGGGGAACCUGCGGUUGGAUCACCUCCUUACCUGAAAGAAGC
rnacentral:rRNA from 1 species